CUCGGGCCCGCGUUGUGAUUGGCAGAUAUUGGAGGCAGAUGUAACGGGAGCCAAUCAGCGAGCAGGGAUUGGGCGGAGACGUAUGUGGUGAACAAUUUGGACGAUUAUUUCUAGAAUGCAGUCUUUGCGGAUUGCAUUGUCUGCUUAUCAGAUGAGGAAAACAGUGUGGCAGAGAUGGCUUGAUAUAUUUGUUAUAUUGGCAAUUUCGUGAAGGGACGUUCUGGUGUAUUAUUGCUGUUGUUCGAUUCCCAAGCAGAAGAGCAGAGCAUCGUCAAGAGGAGGCAAAUCUCUCUCCUGCAAGAGACGAGAGCCGUUCUCAGCUUUCCUCUUCUCGGCGCCAACGAGCAGAGUUCGGCUAAUCGAGGUCCAGGCGGCUGCUGAAGCAUGGGUGGUCUUUUCUCAAAGUGAUUGUCUUGAGCCGUCUCUCUACUUUAAUGGGCUCUCUCGCAUGAUCCCGGCGGCUUCCUAGCAAAUAAAAUUAUACUCAUUA